CGGGUUUUGGUACGAUCCCGACUCGUAUUUCCUGGAGACAAGAGAGUCAGUUCGGCUGGAUCGGUGACAGGUGGCUGCAUGGCUGUCGUCAGCUCGUGUCGUGAGAUGUUGGGUUAAGUCCCGUAACGAGCGCAACCCUUGUCCUUAGUUACCAGCACGUUAUGGUGGGCACUCUAAGGAGACUGCCGGUGACAAACCGGAGGAAGGUGGGGAUGACGUCAAGUCAUCGUGCCCCUUAUGACCUGGGCUACAAACGUGAUACAAUGGCUGGAACAAAGGGAUGCGAAGCAGUGAUGUGGAGCGGAACCCAUAAAAACAGUCUCAGUUCGGAUUGAAGUCUGCAACCCGACUUCAUGAAGUCGGAAUCGCUAGUAACCGCAGAUCAGCUACGUUGCGGUGAAUACGUUCCCGGGCCUU
rnacentral:rRNA from 1 species